rnacentral:lncRNA from 10 species
GUAUAUCUGUUACAGCAGCUAGCACUGCCUUAACUAAUACAUCUUCCAAACACUCACAGCCUCUUAGCAUAUUGACUUCUGCUGUGUCUAAAAAUUUUAGCUAAGAUCUCAAAGUUUAAGAGAAUAGAUAAUAUUCUCCUAUAUUCUAAAAACAGCACCAAGAACCUGACAGACGCCAUCUCCAGAACUGUCUAGGAGGUGCCAAACUGGCCUUGAGACCCUCACCUCACCAUCCUUAUCAGCCUAUGUAAUUGUUCUUAAAGUGUCAUUUAAAGGAACCUGGUUAAAGUAGGAGAACCCAUCAGAGGAGGGAGUCGCCAGAGAAGAGUGGGGAGCAUUUCCUCUCCUGUUUCCCAUGAAGGAGGGGAAGGGAUGACCCCCAGUCCCUGGCCAAAUGAGGAGGGCUCCAAAGACUCUUCAAAAAAAUGUGGGGAUGCCUGCAGGAAGGGGAACCUGACACCUCACUCACAGAAAAUUCCGGCAGUAGGAACAGGGUAGAACCUCAGGAAGAGGAGAGAGGGCAGUGGAAGGGCGGUGGCCUCCAAGAACCUGCUGGCUGAGGGGCCUCAUGGAGGACAGCCACUGCACCACUGCUGCUGGUACCCACUUCAGAGGCCGGCCACCAGGACGAGCCCAUCCAUCUGACACACUGUAAGAGCCAGGAACAGGAGGGGUGAUAGGAAGAGAGAAAGAGUAGAGCAUUCCUAACAGGGCUGGGAAGAAAAAUCCAUCAGAGUAAGAGAUGGCAGUGGUUGGAAAAAGUAAAGACAUUCUCUACUUGUACCCUCUGUGGAGUUCAGACUUUCCAUAAAUCAGGCACUGUGUCAAUGAGGAUACCCAGGAGAUGAAUGGAAUCUACUGUCUUUCCCACGCUUGUCAAGGCAUCUCAUCUGAGCAGUUACCAACAUCAGCACAGUGGGGCUGGUCUGCCCCAUCUCCAUCUGACCCGCCCAGCUUGCCCAGUGAUGCAUCACACCGCAAUAGUGGGACAUUUUUUUUCUAACAAUGGUUCUACUCCCCUGGUGUAAAAGCAAAUAAACGGGAAUGGGGUAUAACUUGAUACUAAAUUCUGUGAAAAUAAUCCAUUUGCACUGCACAUAGUUAAUGUGUGGUGCUAACUUGCUACUCUUCAUCCAAGCAGACAGAAGCAGUUGUGCCCUCAUAUAUAGAGGUGCCAGGCAGUCGGGGACAUGAUGAGGAAGUGUUUCUGAAAUCUCUUGUCAAAAGCAUUCAACAGGAAUGCUAAGAAUAAUGGCAAUGAAACACCACCACACCAAGUAAACAAUCGCAUUAACUUCAUUUUGCAGAUGAGGAAAUUGAAGCUCAGUGUGAUUAAAUGACUUACACAAGGGCACGGCUGCUAAGACAUGAAAGAGCUUGGAACUGGACCCAAGUUCUUCCUUCUCUCACAGAAAGAUAUGCUUGCUGAAAGCUCUGCAGAUUUGAAGAUU